UUGGGGGGUGUGCCGGGCAGCAGGGGGCGGCCCCGUAAGUGGGGUUUUGUGCGUCCCCUGGCCUCGGCGGGCGGUUGGAGGGACCCCCUGUAAUCAGGCGGGUAUCCCUGGCCCCGGCCUUUCAGAGGCGUGGGGCCAGGAGUCAUGGGGCCGGGCGUGUGCCCUCCCCGUCCUCGGGGCUGGGCUCGCGGGCCCUGGGGCCACGCGGCUUUAGGCCGUGGGCUCUACUGCCUGACCCUAGAGUCUGGUUCCUGUUGCCUUGGGGGAAGGCCGAGCUCCGUGGCUCCCUGGGUGUGGACCGGCCUGUAAGCAGGCUGCGGGUCUGGGAGCCUUUGUGCUCCCUUCAGCUGGCAGCCUGCCUGGGGCGCCCGCCCCGUUAGCGGGGAGCGCCCCGGAACUGGAGAAAAGGAGCCUCCAUAGGCCCUGCGGGCCAGAGCCGCCCUGUAAGUCGGGGCCAGUGCUCUGGAGUCCCGGGCACUUUGCAGUCCAGGCAGCGGCUUGAGCCCCCUGUAAGCAGGGCUGCAGCCUCUUGGCCGCUGCUUUGCAUGCCCAGCUUCAUUUGCCCAGAGGGCCCGGCUCCCAGCGCGGCGUGGGACUGCGCCGGACGUCGCCAUGAAGCCCUGGGACGGCGAGGCAAGAUCGAGCCGCAGGAGCGGCGUCUGCGUGGUCAAGAGCGGAACGGCGAGGCAAGAGCAAGCUUCAGCAUUGGCUUCUUUGAGCUCAGGAGUGGAACAGCGAGAAGCCGUGGGACCACGAGGCAAGAGCGGCAGUGUCUUCGAGCUCAAGUGUGGAACGGCGCGGCAAGAGCGAGCUUGGAGCUGAAGAGGAGCACAAAGGGCCCUCUGGGCAAAGGGCUUCUCCAGGCCAGGGCACCUUCAGGGUGCCGCGGCCGGCUUUGCGCUGGGCGACCUCCCUGCGUGCAGGGCUGGUCUUUGCUGUGGUUGGCCUUUUGCCGUUGUGCUCCUUUGGCUGCCCGGAGAGAGGGGCAACCCUGUAAGGAGGGUGAGAGCCCCUGUCUCCGCACCUGAGGGGGGGAAACGGAGCUCGCCCGGCCCCCAGCCCAGCUCCCCUGUAAGCAGGGUAGGGCAGGGCUUUUCCCCAGCCCCGGCAGCUUUCUGCCUGCCGCUGCCCCCGGCCCAGCGUGACCCCCUGUACUCGGGGCGUGUCACAGCCUGUUUUCCUUUUCCAGCCCUGAAGCGCCUCAGGCCCUGUGGCCUCCUCUGAGACCUGCACGGGGCAGGUCUGAUGCUUUCUCGUCCCGCUCUGCAUUAGGAAUGGCUCCCUAGAGCAGGUUGGCUGCACAGAACUUGCUCCCUCUUCUGGGACUGUCUUCCCCUCCCCUGUGUUCCCCUUCCCUGUGUUCCCCUAAGUUGGUGUGAGUGAGGAAGCGUGCUUGUGCUUUAGCCCCGCCUUUAGAAAUAGA